AUUGCAGGCUGCAACCCGCCCUGCAUGAAGUCGGAAUUGCUAGUAAUCNCGGAUCAGCAUGCCGCGGUGAAUACGUUCCCGGGCCUUGUACACACCGCCCGUCACACCAUGGGAGCCGGUAAUACCCGAAGUCAGUAGUCCAACCUCGUGAGGACGCUGCCGAAGGUAGGAUUGGCGACUGGGGUGAAGUCGUAACAAGGUAGC
rnacentral:rRNA from 1 species